rnacentral:tRNA from 1 species
GUAGCUUAGUUGGUAAAGCACUCGUCUAACAUUCGAGAGUAUUGGGUUCGAAUCCAAC